rnacentral:sRNA from 1 species
CAUUGUGAGGUCUAUAACAUUCAUUGAGUGUGAGGUCUAUAACAUUCAUUGAGUGUGAGGUCUAUAACAUUCAUUGAGUGUGAGGUCUAUAACAUUCAUUGAGUGUGGGGUCUAUAACAUUCAUUGAGUGCUGUCUAUAACAUUCAUUGAGUGUGAGGUCUAUAACAUUCAUUGAGUGUGAGGUCUAUAACAUUCAUUGAGUGCCGUCUAUAACAUUCAUUGAGUGUGAGGUCUAUAUCAUUCAUUGAGUGUGAGGUCUAUAACAUUCAUUGAGUGUGAGGUCUAUAACAUUCAUUGAGUGUGAGGUCUAUAACAUUCAUUGAGUGUGAGGUCUAUAACAUUCAUUGAGUGUGAGGUCUAUAACAUUCAUUGAGUGUGAGGUCUAUAACAUUCAUUGAGUGUGAGGUCUAUAACAUUCAUUGAGUGCCGUCUAUAACAUUCAUUGAGUGCCGUCUAUAACAUUCCUUGAGUGCCGUCUAUAACAUUCCUUGAGUGCCGUCUAUAACAUUCAUUGAGUGCCGUCUAUAACAUUCCUUGAGUGCCGUCUAUAACAAAAUCUUUUAGUAGAUACUUUUUUUUUUAAAUUUAGAAUCUAGUAUUUCAAUUCAUUUUGAUCUUUGACUAGCCUCAUGUCGCUGGGGGGAGGGCUUGCUUGACAAAAUAUUGAAUUCUUACUAAUACUUCCUUACACCCCUGGAUCUGACUCAAGUUUGCCUUCAUGGUACUAACGAGAUGUAGUGUCACGGUUCAGUUGGCGCUCCA